GGGCAUGAGGGUGAUCUGGCUGCAGUGUCUGUCAUUCCGUUGAUCACCAUGUUGAUUCAGCUGGCUACGCAGUGUCCCCUUCCUUCCUUACUGCUCCCUGUGCAUCCCUCCCAAAGCUAUGCUCGGUCAAAGAGGAAGAUCUUCCCUGAUUGAGGAGGACCAUUCUUCAGUCAAGGGUAGAGAAGUAGCUGCGUUCCCCUGAUAAAACCUCCAGACAAGCUCUCAAAAAAAACUAUUGAAAAAAAGCACAAAUGCAUGGGAAGUAUGACUUACAGAAACAU
ensembl:misc_RNA 7SK 7SK RNA